GGAAAGAGGAUGCCGUUUUUAGAGUGAAAGAGGAGGAGGGGGAGAUGACUGUUAGUUACAUCGAAAAAGGAGGAGGAAAAAGAGGAGGAAACUGGAUAUCUGGGCCCGGUUUCCCAAACGCAUCUUAAGGUGUCCAAUGGUUCUAACAAUGAAUUUAGCCUGAAAUGGUUUUGAGAAACCGUUCCCUGAUUAACACUAUACAAGGAGACGGUCGAGGGUGAACAAGUAAUACUUCAGGAGAAAGACAUGACAAUCGUGGAUUCUCUGGGGAGUCUCAACAACAUCAUGACGCUGACGAGGCAGAGAAGAGUCUCUCACAUCAGAACACCUCAAGAAACACCAGCAGAGACCCACAGGGAAGAAAUCUCACCACUGCUCUGUCUGUGGGAAGAGUUACUCAAGAUCAGAUUCACUGAAAGCACACCAGAGAAUUCACACAGGGAAGAAGUCUCACCACUGCUCUGACUGUGGGAAGAGUUACUCAAGAUCAGAUUCACUAAAAGUACACCAGAGAAAACACAUUGGAGAGAAACCUCACUGCUGCUCUGAUUGUGGGAAGAGUUGCACCUCUUUAGCAACCCUAAAAAUACAUCAGAGAAUCCAUAGAAGAGAAAAACCUUAUAGCUGCUCUGACUGUGGGAAGUGUUUUGUUUUGUCAGGACAUUUAAAAUCACACCAGAGAACACACACAGGAGAGAAACCUUAUAGCUGUGAUCUAUGUGGGAGGAGUUUUAGGCACUUAAGCAGCCUGAUAGUGCACCAGAGAAUACACACAGGAGAAAAACCUUAUAUCUGCUCUGACUGUGGGAAGUGUUUUGUUUUGUCAGGACAUUUAAAAUCACACCAGAGAACACACACAGGAGAAAUGCCUCAUAGCUGUGAUCAAUGUUACAAGAGAUACUCUGAUAAAAGAUCUCUGGUUAAACAUCAGACAAUUCAUUCAUGAAUGAGUUGUUCAAUGUGGGAAGAGUUUUACUGAAUCUAGAAAGCUGACUUUGCACCAGAGAAAACACACAGGAAAUAUACUUUACCACUGCUCUGACUGUGGGAAGAGGUUUGUUUAAUCAGGACUUUAAAAAUCAUACCAGAGAACACACACAGGAGGGAAUUAUCAUAGCUCUGAUCAAUGUGACAAGAGAUCCGUUAUAUCAAUGAAAUAAUGUCACAAUGUAAUAGGAGUAUUUUAAUGAUGUCAUAAUGAAGGAACCCUACAUGUUUGCCCUGAUCUAUUGAUUUCAGCGUGCUAUGGAUUGAAAUGAAGAGUACUACUAUGUGAUUAACAAAAAGUGACUGACAAAAAGUCGUUAUGAAAAGAAGACUACGUUGUAGUUGAAAGUUGAAAAGAUGUCUUGUAAACAACUUAAUUUCAAUGUACUUGCAGCCUUGCAACACAUGGACACAGUAUAAUAAAUUGGUCUAUAAUCAAUUUUAUUAACAAUCCUACAUCAGUCCAGUAUUUCUUGUCAACAUUCAAGUGCUAAUUGUCUUUAUUCCACUACUGAA